rnacentral:rRNA from 1 species
AAGUCGAGCGGACAGAUGGGAGCUUGCUCCCUGAUGUUAGCGGCGGACGGGUGAGUAACACGUGGGUAACCUGCCUGUAAGACUGGGAUAACUCCGGGAAACCGGGGCUAAUACCGGAUGGUUGUUUGAACCGCAUGGUUCAAACAUAAAAGGUGGCUUCGGCUACCACUUACAGAUGGACCCGCGGCGCAUUAGCUAGUUGGUGAGGUAACGGCUCACCAAGGCGACGAUGCGUAGCCGACCUGAGAGGGUGAUCGGCCACACUGGGACUGAGACACGGCCCAGACUCCUACGGGAGGCAGCAGUAGGGAAUCUUCCGCAAUGGACGAAAGUCUGACGGAGCAACGCCGCGUGAGUGAUGAAGGUUUUCGGAUCGUAAAGCUCUGUUGUUAGGGAAGAACAAGUACCGUUCGAAUAGGGCGGUACCUUGACGGUACCUAACCAGAAAGCCACGGCUAACUACGUGCCAGCAGCCGCGGUAAUACGUAGGUGGCAAGCGUUGUCCGGAAUUAUUGGGCGUAAAGGGCUCGCAGGCGGUUUCUUAAGUCUGAUGUGAAAGCCCCCGGCUCAACCGGGGAGGGUCAUUGGAAACUGGGGAACUUGAGUGCAGAAGAGGAGAGUGGAAUUCCACGUGUAGCGGUGAAAUGCGUAGAGAUGUGGAGGAACACCAGUGGCGAAGGCGACUCUCUGGUCUGUAACUGACGCUGAGGA